rnacentral:rRNA from 1 species
CUUCUGAAAGGAAGAUUAAUACAAGAUGGCAUCAUGAGUCCGCAUGUUCACAUGAUUAAAGGUAUUCCGGUAGACGAUGGGGAUGCGUUCCAUUAGAUAGUAGGCGGGGUAACGGCCCACCUAGUCUUCGAUGGAUAGGGGUUCUGAGAGGAAGGUCCCCCACAUUGGAACUGAGACACGGUCCAAACUCCUACGGGAGGCAGCAGUGAGGAAUAUUGGUCAAUGGGCGAGAGCCUGAACCAGCCAAGUAGCGUGAAGGAUGACUGCCCUAUGGGUUGUAAACUUCUUUUAUAAAGGAAUAAAGUCGGGUAUGGAUACCCGUUUGCAUGUACUUUAUGAAUAAGGAUCGGCUAACUCCGUGCCAGCAGCCGCGGUAAUACGGAGGAUCCGAGCGUUAUCCGGAUUUAUUGGGUUUAAAGGGAGCGUAGAUGGAUGUUUAAGUCAGUUGUGAAAGUUUGCGGCUCAACCGUAAAAUUGCAGUUGAUACUGGAUAUCUUGAGUGCAGUUGAGGCAGGCGGAAUUCGUGGUGUAGCGGUGAAAUGCUUAGAUAUCACGAAGAACUCCGAUUGCGAAGGCAGCCUGCUAAGCUGCAACUGACAUUGAGGCUCG